UGCGGGAUCGUCUAAAGGCAGGACAGUGGACUCUGAAUCCAUUAAUCUAGGUUCGAUUCCUAGUCCCGCAG
rnacentral:tRNA from 1 species